CGGAAGCCGCCUCGGGUUUUCUAGCGGAGCGCCGGAUUAGGCAGUCCCCGCCCCGGUGCCCCUGAUUGGGUAGGGCCUCAGGCCCCGCCCCCUCAGACUCUUAGUGACAGGUGACAGCUCCCGCGCGUGUCUGAAUGAGGCAGCGUUCUGGCUACAGCUCUUCUCCAAGAGGGUUUCCUCUCUGGGUUGGGACCCAGCCUUGCCUAGGGGACAUUCAUUUAUAUACACUUAACCUUGUAUACAAUGUUACAUUCAUUUGUGAAUAAUAUAUAUGAUAUUUAAAAUAGGAAACAAUAUAAUAAUAAUUCUUUUAAAAUUUCAGACUUAUUAACCUUCAUGGCCUCUGGUCUUCUGAGGAAGCAGUCUGAGGAGCCCGAGUUUUGAAAAGGGAAGCAAUCCUCCAAGGCUGCGAUUUCCACAGAAAUCACAUGUGAGCCACAGGUGUCAUUUUAAAAUUUCUAGUAGCAACAGAAACGAGGAAUAAACAGGUAAAAUUGAUUGCAAUACUUUAUUUAACUCAAUAUAUACAAAAUAUUAUAAUUUAAAUAUAUGAUAAAUAUAAUAUUAAUGAAGUAUUUUUUGUUGUUCUGUUUUUUGGUACUAAAUCUUUCAAAGUCACUCUGCGUUUUAAACUUCCAGCAUGUACCGAUUGUAAAUGGUUUUUCAUUCUAGUACACUCCUCUUUUCUUCAGAGGUGUCGAUUAAGCUCAAGACUUUAUAAUCAGUCUUUCGUUUCUUGUUCAUUCAAUGGUAAAUUUUUCCCAUCAUUAUUCAUAAUUAUGUAAAUACCUGGGACUUACUUCUAUAUUGUUUCUCCCAGGUCAGUACCAUAUUAUUGUAAAUCCUGUGAUUCAUAGUGAAGUUGCCAGAUUCAUCAAGUAAAAAAUAGGACAGAUUCCUUCUCAUUCUAGCAUUCUAGUCUUCAUAGAUAUAUGUAUUUGUUUUAUGUUUUCUUUUUUUGAGAUGUAGUCUUGGAGUGUCGCCUGGGCUGGAGUGCAAUGGUGCAAUUUUGGCUCACUACAACCUCCGCCUCACAGGUUCAAGUGAUUCUUCUGUCUCAGCCUCUGGAAUAGCUGGGAUUACAGGCGCCUAUCACCAUACCCAGCUAUUUUUUUGUAUUUUUAGUAGAGACAGGGUUUCACUAUGAUGGCCAGGCUGGUCUGGAUCUCCUGACCUCAUGAUCCGCCCACCUCAGCCUCCCAAAGUGCUGGGAUUACAGGCGUGAGCCACCGGGCCUGGCUGUUUUUUUUUUUUUUUUUUUUAACAAAUAUUUUAGUCUUAUUUGUAAAUCAUUUAUACAUAUUCACACGAAGAAAAAUAAAUUUCAGAAUGGAAUCUUGGGACCAUUGUAGUUAAAAAAAAUAUAUAUAUAUAUAUAUAUUUCUGAUCAUUAGCCACUUGAAGACAAGGCAAGAGGCUUAGCAGUCAUUUCUAGGGGUUAGUGUAUCUCCCCAUGCAAGGGACAAUUGAGAAGAAUCCAAGCUGCUCCCUCAUCUUCCCUCAAUUUUAACCUUCUGGAGACAAUAUGGGGGAAGGGGAUUUUCCAGUGCUUUCCCCUAGAAACAUUGCAAGAGGUACAGCCAAGUCUUACGGUAACACUGAACCUGCUCUUUGCUAGCAAUUUAGCAAGUUUGCAACCUGUGAACCAACCUACUAGAAGAGUUAGCCUAAUUCCUAUUCACAGGUACUUCUAAGAGGAGGAGGGAUUGCUGCACUCAUCACACCCGCUUCCCACUUGCUCUGUUCUCCCACCAAGGCCCCAGAACAGAGCUCUUGAUCUCAUCUGAUCUAGUCCCUCCCCGCUCCCACCCAGCCUCAUUUCACAAGUGAACCUUCCUCCCACCCCACACUCAGACAGACACUCUGUAACUGUUGGCCCUGGCAGCUCCUGAGGACUGCUGGGAUGAUGACACAGCAUUUUUGCAUCAGCAUCGUACUCACAGGGACUCGGAGCUCAGCCAGGAGAGGUCCAAGAAUGACGGAACUCUAGAACCCCUACCAAAACUCAGCUCUGCAGAGCCAAAUAAACAAUUCAACCCAACAGGCCAACUCCUAACAUCCCAUCCCAGACAGUCAUCACUGGAGGCGCGCAGUAGAUGAACCUCCUACUUGCACUGAACCAUUACCAAUUCCCAGUAACAGUGGGGGAAAGGACAGACAUGACAAAUGUGGUAGACCCUAUCAGAAAUGGUAGCUGAUGACAACAGUUAGCCUAGAUCACUGGGUCCUAUCCAAAAAGAACGGGCAUGAUGAGCAGAGGGCUCUGUAGCUGGAUGUACAGCCCUUAAAUUACUAAGGGACUCAGAGAAAACAAGCCUUGUUUUCCUACGAUUAUCUAGGAACUGGAACACGGACUACCCACCCCUAUGUUGAGGCAGCUUCUGACAGGCCUUACUGCUUACGGUCAUCGGUCAUCAGCCCACCCGCUUGGUAGGUGCAUUUGGGGGGAGGGACUCACAUCACAUCCAGAGGGGGGACCCAUCUAGGCGGACACCACAGGGCAGCCCAUCCCACUGUCACUGGGGCAGGCCAAACACGGUUAGCAGGGCGGACUGAUUCCAGCCAUCAGCCGCCCUACAGGCGUCGCUCUGGCCUAACACAGAAUGCGAAAUGCAGGGUGCUCCAAGUGUUCUCCGACAUGGCACCUCCUUCACCCCGAGGGCCCCGGCUUUUCUUCCACAUGUUCAGGGCCUCCAGAAAGUGCUCUGCAGCCUCCCAGUGAGCCCCAGGUUAUAGCCUCCCAGUGAGCCCUGCAGCUGAUGCCCAGGUUAUAGCGGGACUGGAUAUAGCCAGGCUGGAGCUCAAGGGCCUGGCAGUAUGAAGUUACUGCUUCUUCACUCUGGUUUUCCUUCCACAGCAAAUAGUCAUUGGGAUGAACACUGAAGGUAGCUGUGAAGCAGUUCAUGGCCUUGUCGUAUUCUCCACUCAGGUUGAAAAGGACCUGCAAGCCACACUGCACAUCAGGGUCCAUGGAUGUAGGGUCCAGUUGCACAGUUGCUAGGAAGAGCUCUUUCAUUUCAAGAAACAGGGAGUCAGACAACAGAGAUCCCAAGAUAUGCUUGCUGGCGCCCAGUCCUGCCCCGCCAGCCCCUUCUUCAGCAGGUGUCACCAGAUAGCCACAGGCUGGUGUGUGGCAGGGUUUCACAGGCCUGUCACUGCAGAGGCUCAUUGGUAAAGCCUGCAGCCGGGGCCAUCAGUGCUUAUCUGGCUUUAGCUCCAGACACCUCUGCAAUGCUCUGAUGGCUCACAGUUCUUGUUCAUUCUCUGCCUGGUUGGUACCCAGAUACGGCCAAGCUUCCAUGUGCUUAGGAUCCUGCUGCAUAGCUGCCUCAAAAAGCAGCACAGCAUUUGGGAGGGCCCUCUCCUGAAGUCGCUGCAGCCCUUCUUUGAAAGGCUGAGGGUGAUCACGCAGGGGGUUCUCCUCCUCCAACGGGUACCCCUUAUCAUAGGAAGCUGAUGCGAGGUCAUCAUAGCCAGAAAGCCAGGGGUGAGUGUCAGCAUCCCGUUUUGCCUUCUCCUCCAACUCUGUCUGCAACUCUACAGCUGACUUGGCGCGUUCAAACUCCCUAUCAAGGG
rnacentral:lncRNA from 1 species